AGUGAACGCUGGCGGUAGGCCUAACACAUGCAGGUCGAACGGCAGCACAGUAAGAGCUUGCUCUUACGGGUGGCGAGUGGCGGACGGGUGAGGAAUACAUCGGAAUCUACUUUUUCGUGGGGGAUAACGUAGGGAAACUUACGCUAAUACCGCAUACGACCUACGGGUGAAAGCAGGGGAUCUUCGGACCUUGCGCGAUUGAAUGAGCCGAUGUCGGAUUAGCUAGUUGGCGGGGUAAAGGCCCACCAAGGCGACGAUCCGUAGCUGGUCUGAGAGGAUGAUCAGCCACACUGGAACUGAGACACGGUCCAGACUCCUACGGGAGGCAGCAGUGGGGAAUAUUGGACAAUGGGCGCAAGCCUGAUCCAGCCAUACUGCGUGGGUGAAGAAGGCCUUCGGGUUGUAAAGCCCUUUUGUUGGGAAAGAAAAGCAGCAGGUUAAUACCCCGCUGUUCUGACGGUACCCAAAGAAUAAGCACCGGCUAACUUCGUG
rnacentral:rRNA from 1 species